rnacentral:piRNA from 1 species
UGGUGACCAGCUCCUUCUGCUCUCU